UGAUCCUGGCUCAGAGCGAACGUUAGCGGCGCGCCUAACACAUGCAAGUCGCACGAGAAAGGGGCCAACCCCCGGUACAGUGGCGCACGGGUGAGUAACACGUAGAUGACCUUCCCUGGAGUGGUGGAUAACCUGCCGAAAGGCGGGCUAAUACAGCAUGGGACCACAUGGUUUUGGCCGAGUGGUGAAAGCGGGCCUCUGUUCACAAGCUCGCGCUCUGGGAUGGAUCUGCGGCCCAUCAGCUAGUUGGUGAGGUAAUGGCUCACCAAGGCUACGACGGGUAGCUGGUCUGAGAGGAUGAUCAGCCACACUGGAACUGAGACACGGUCCAGACUCCUACGGGAGGCAGCAGUGGGGAAUCUUGCGCAAUGGGACGAAAGCCUGACGCAGCGACGCCGCGUGGGUGACGAAGG
rnacentral:rRNA from 1 species